GUGCUUGCUUAGGCAGCACAUAUAUUAAAUUGGAAUGAUAAAGAAAAGAUUAGCAUGGCCCCUGUGCAAGGAUUACACACAAAUUUGUGAAGCAUUCCAUGUUUUU
rnacentral:snRNA from 1 species